GCCAUUUUGUAAGCGCCUUGCAUAAGAGUGCCUCAUGGACUUCAGCUGGAUUAAAUGUGUAUUCAACCAAAAGUCUGACCUGUGAAACGUUAACAUUUGACUACAAUCUGGUCACUACCUCGUGCGGAAUGGCGGAGCUACGACAAGUCGACUGUCCCCGCGCGGAGCGUUUUCACAGUCAGGAUUUGAGCCGCUACUUCUGGUGAUUCCUCUGCAUCACUCCCGCGGCCAACGUGGGCUGUGACUUCGGCUUCUUUGAUCUCCAAAUACGGGACAACAGAGAGGGAAUGGCCGGAGAGAUCAACCUGAACGGACUCCCAUGGGACAAAAUAUCUGCUGACCUAAAACUCAUCCAGGGGACGACCUUUGAUGACCCCUUAUUCGUUACGCAUGAUUGGGAACGGGUAGGUUUAUUUUGCAAUCUUACAAAUCACAGUAACACAAUAAUACUCACUUUUCAGUCAGACGCGCAUCAGAGAUACCAAUAAGCGUAUAGGUCAAUAUAUUGUAAUAACCGAAUAAAAAUACUAGCAUGUUAAUAAUUUAAUAUACACAUUAAACCUGAAUGAUUGAUAAAACUGUAUAAAAUAUUGACUAAUCCUCUGAAUGAUAUCUUUGUUGGCUGUCUGCGAAGUGGGCUACAUAUCCUAAUACAAACGGCACAUAUAUCGACAUGCAUAUAGCACCAACACAACAGUAGUUUUUCAUUCUAGCGUAAAUAUUGCACUUAAAAUUGAAAUUUAAGUAUCCAAAAUGUAAGUUUUAGAAAGAGUUCUAGUCAAGACGUGAAAAGCUUAAAUUAAACAUAAUUUUCUGUUUCAAAGUAAAAGAGUGGGCCCAUUUACUGUCAAGCACUAUGUUUUGUACAGUAGACAAUCAAGUUGUUGGUUCUGGUGCGCAUCCAGAGUUCUGUACGCUUUGUACUGGCGAACCAUGUUUAUCACAGCAGACCGCAUUGUUUUUCAUUACAUUGCGAACCAAUCUAAGAUUUGGACUCCCCGAUAAUUGUUCAGCAUCUAAUGUUGUGAAAGUUGUAAGGAUCGAGGAUGCACUACAACAUAUUUGAACCUAGUCGACAUCCUGGUCACUGUAUCCAUACAGUGCCUUCACUACUACAUUCUUAAUGCUAUUCUCAUCGUUCAGUCUUUUGAUGGGACUGUAAACAUAACUGGCAAAUGUAUUUAAUGGAAUCACUAAGGCGUGCUUAAGGAUAAGGAUACUAAUUAUAUUGAAUACGAACCCAUGACACUGAAAAUUGAAACUACAAUUUUGGGAAUAACCAAA